GAUAUAAUGAUAUGAAAUAAACCUUGAUCUAAAAUCUACUUAGUACUUAAAUUAUAUUCUAGGAAAAUCUUAGAUUUGGCUUGCUGUUUGACAUGAUCCUUCCCUUGAUAAAAGAAAGCUUAGGAUAUCCUCAGUGGGUAAGUAAAGCAAACGUUGCAUUUGAACAGCCGCGCCGGCGUGCGAGCGAGACGGCGCUAGUGCCGCCGAGCGUCGCCGAGUGGCGCCGAGUGUCGCCGAGCGCGGCCGAGUGGCGCACAGACAUGGCGUCGCGCGCCGCGCUGUAAGUAUCGCCGGCUCGAUAAGGCUGCUCCGACACCGACACCUAUACCACAGCUGCUCCUCAAGCCUCACUAACUAAACAUUCUAACACUUAUGGAAACCACUAAAACAAUAAAACGCGUAGCACAUAGUCUAUUGACUUUAGUGUAGGUAUGUAGCUCUGUCGGUAUUAUCAUAGCUCAGUUAGGAUAGAAAGGACCCGACUACGAAGACAAAGCUUCGUUCCAAAACUCAGUAUUCUACCAUAAUAUGGUAUCCUAUUGACCGUACAGGUCGAACUGCAAAUAGCCAUGGAAAUUAAGAUGCCGAACUAUGUCUUAAAAACAAGCUUGGUGAAUUAUAAAUAUUAGUAGAGUCAAUAUUUUGCCGGUGCCAGUAUGUGAUGGAAUGUCCACAGUGUGCUAACAUGCGCAACUUUUUUAUCAGCUAUUUAUUAUCAGAGCAGUAUUAUAUAACUGUCAGUGUGUAUGUGCUGCGUCCCGCUCGCACGCGGGCGGCGAGCGCUAAGCGACGAGUGUACGAGCGAGAUGCAGCAUGUUGCAUUAAAUUUCGAUCCUAUUCUGUAAUGUUUUGUCCAAUCGCGUCCGAUCUCUGCGUGUUCCGGUUCUUUGUCAUCAAUGGGUUGCCGGGCGAGUCCAUUUGUAGUGCCACUCGAAAAUGUUUUACGCUAUAUUUAACAGAGAUUUUGAGCUAUGAAACGAUUAGUUAUCCGUGCGAUGGUUGUAUCUAUCGUUUCGAUCGUGAAUUUCGUUUCGGGGCGCAGUAUUUAGCGCAAUCGCUCUUAGGCCCUUUCGGUAUUAAUGAGUCGUGCCCACUUCAGCUGACUGCGUCGUACGCAAGGCUACUCUAACUAAACUAGUAGUAGUCCGGCGUUCGAAGGAGACGGUCGGGUGCGGACGCGUGCGAGUGAUAUGCGGAUAUGUUAUUGAGGUUUAAAAUGUUUUUGGAACGUUUCCCAUAGGCGCUCGGACGUACCGGUCGCGAUCGCGUAUAGUGCGGCCCGACCGCGCGGACUGAGUGCGGACGGCGGCCCCACGACGCUCAAUAAUGCUCAAAUUCCUGACUCACAAGCUGCGAACGCAUUCGUUGAAUGAGGAGAGCGUUUCCGAGAAGGUGGAGGAGCGCGACUCCGGCACCGAGUCGGACGACGACGCCGCCCCGCCCGGUGACUUCUGCACUGACGUCAUCAUGAAGUGGAACGACGUCACGGAUAUCAGCAUGGGCGGCGAAGCGUGCGCGUGCGCCCCCGCGCCGCCGCGCCUGCUGCCGGACCCGGAGCCCGACCACCUGUACGACCACCACUCCUCGGAGGAGGAACUAGAGGUGAUCAACGGGUUGCCGCGCGGGGCGGAGGGCGCGAGCGCGGCGGGCGGCGCGGGCGCGGGCGGCGGCGCGGGCGCGGCGGAGUCGCGGCGGCGCGGGGCGUCGUCGCCGCCGCCCGCCGCGCCCGAGAAGCGCAAGUGGCCCGCGCAGCCCUACCGCGACCUGCGGGACCUGGCGCCGCGCCCCGCCUCCUCCGACGACGACGACACCAAGGUGGAGACACCGGUGCGGUUCCGCACGUCGCCGCCGCUGGAGGCUCUAAAGCCGCGACGCGGAGUGUGCUCGUGUGGGGUGACGGGCGCGGGGACCCUAGCGGGUGCUGCGGGGCCCGCGGGGGGCCCGGUGGGGCCGGCGGCGCGCGGCAGGGCCCCACUGUCGCCGCGGCGCCGGCGCUUGCCGCUGCCGCCCCCUCGCCGACACCGACCCGCGCUCGACUUCGACAAGAUGCAACAGCUGAAGGUGGGCGGCGGCGUGCGCUCGUGGCGCGCGGUGGGCGGCGCGCACGGCGGCGAGCUGUCCGUCUUCUGCUGGUGAUGCGCCGACACAGGUACGGACACACGCACGGCGGCGAGCUGUCCGUCUUCUGCUGGUGAUGCGCCGACACAGAGCGUCGGCACUGAGCCGCCCCCGCCGCCCUCGCACCGCCACCCGCUGCCGGCCGCAGCGAGCCGCCGGCAGACUGCUGCGUGCCGCCGGCGGACCGCAGCGUGUCGCCGGCAGACCGCUGCGUACCGCCGGCAGACCGCUGCGUACCGCCGGCAGACCGCAGUGUGCCGCCGGCAGGCCGCGGCCGGGCGGCGGCCGACAUCCAGUUCCUCUGUAAAUUGCACUCUAAUAAUGAUCAAAGUACAAACUUACGAUACUAAGGGGUGUCGCCAGUCGCCACUCGGGCCGGUGAUGCAAGCCGACACUGUUUUUCGAAGAAUUUACUCGUUUUGAAUACUGUGUUUUUAUCCAUCAGUUUGAUACUCGACUAGAUUGUCAGAACGCGGGAUUUUUAAUAAAUAUUAAGUUAAUGAUGUCAACGAAACUACAAGUUUAUACGAGGCCAUCGCUCGGGUCCGUGCCCGAAAUUACUUUAAUUUGUCUAUUGUGAUAAAAUGGUAUUGUAAUGAUAUUUCAAUGGACUGAUAUCGAUCGUCGCGUCGUGUCCGCCGAGCAGCACUGUAGUGCACGGUACUGUGGCGGAGUCCGACGCGGCGGUCGUCACUGGAGGUGUGACAUUAUAUAAUCGCCUCGAGUUUUUGAUCUCGAAUUGCGACUGACACGCUGAGCGCGGGCCAGCCCGCAGCUGUGUAAACGCCCCGCAUGCGGGCUGCGUCCUCGCCCCGCAUGCGGGGAGCUGCGGGCUGACCCGCGCUCACCACACAAAACGUGAUUCCUUCGUAGAUUAACGUUUAUAUUUUACCAGUUAAAUGUCAAUUGCUAUGAAGGCUCCUGCGGCCAGUGACCGCACGAGCGCUUCGUACGAGUUGUAUCGGUUGUACUCUAGUUGUAUACUUAUGUUAGUAGUUUUUUAGCGGGGCUAAAAUAUUCUGUUACUUGUAUUGUGUUAUAAAACGAAAACGAAAAAAAAUGAAACAUAAUAAAGUUAACGUGGUGCGAGUGGAGUCAGUGAAUUUAACGAUAAAGACAUUUAACAAAUUUUCAAAUUAAUAUGAUAAAAAGUACUAAGACUUUUUUUUAAAUCGCUUGGAUAAAGAUAUUGUAUGUACAUAGCGUUAAGAGACGUAGUAUAAGUGCAGACUUAGAUGUAGUAGGUAUAACAAAUUGUAUGCGAGCGUCGCCUGCCGGCCUCGCCCGAUCUAUUGUUAACGACUUUUUUUAAUUGUGUUAUUUUUUAUUUCUGCUAGUUUCGUUACUGACGUUUCCUUGUUAUCGAGCCCAGCCGACUGCGAGCCGGCCGCGUCCAAUGUCGAUCUCCAUGUUUGCGAAUCUAUCACUAGAUAUCAAUUAUACUAAUACAUUCGACAACGCCACUCGACAUACAAAUUACAUAUUUUUACAUGAUUAUUGUCAACAUUAAUUUGUAGAAAUGAAUAAUUUUAAAUUCAUUUCAACGAUGUGUCGCACUGUAGGUAUAGUUUACGCGGGAACAGAUGCUGAGCUGUGUCGCCUCUAGCCGACUACGAGAAUAGCAGUAAUAUGUGAAUAAUGGACAUUUUUGUAUGGGUUUUCUAGGGGAUAUAUAGCUUAUGAGUAGUCAGAUAGAGGGGAAAACAGCUCCCGACUACACGUGAAUGAAAUUGAAACACGAAUUUGCAGAUUGUCAUGUGCUCUAUACACAUUCAAUUGAAAAAUGCAAAAAAAUUAAGAAAAUAUUGCAAUUUCGUGAUUUCAUAUACAUUUUGAACAUGUGUACUAUAAAAUGUAUUGAUCUAUUUAUAUAAAUGUGUGUAAUAGCAUCAGUAACCGAGGCAGUACGUAGACUAUAUCGUGCGGCACUCGAGCCGAGCUUGCGGUCAAGUUGUUUGCAUCAAUCAGUGGUGAUAUUUUACAAAAUAAUUUAUAUUAUGUUUUUAUAUAUUAACAAGCGUAAUAAAGAGUGAGCAAAAGCACAUCUUA